rnacentral:rRNA from 1 species
UACAGAGGGGGCAAGCGUUAUUCGGAAUUAUUGGGCGUAAAACGCUUGUAGGUGGCCACGCCGAGUCGGAUGUGAAAUCUCCCGGCUUAACUGGGAGGGGUCAUUCGAUACUGGCGGGCUCGAGGCCGGUAGGGGGAAGCGGAAUUCCCGGUGUAGUGGUGGAAUGCGUAGAUAUCGUAAGGAAGACCAGUGGCGAAGGCGGGUCUCUGGACAGUUCCUGACGCUGAGGCACGAAGGUCAGGGGAGCAAACGGG